AAUACCGGAUACUCCGCGGGCCCCGCAUGGGGGCGGCGGGAAAGCCCCGACGGCGCGGGAUGGGGUCGCGGCCCAUUAGGUAGUAGGCGGGGUAGAGGCCCACCUAGCCGACGAUGGGUAGCCGGACUGAGAGGUCGAUCGGCCACAUUGGGACUGAGAUACGGCCCAGACUCCUACGGGAGGCAGCAGUGGGGAAUUUUGCGCAAUGGGGGAAACCCUGACGCAGCAACGCCGCGUGCGGGACGAAGGCCCUCGGGUCGUAAACCGCUUUCAGCAGGGAAGACUUUACGACGGUACCUGCAGAAGAAGCUCCGGCUAACUACGUGCCAGCAGCCGCGGUAAUACGUAGGGGGCGAGCGUUAUCCGGAUUCAUUGGGCGUAAAGCGCGCGUAGGCGGCCGCCUAAGCGGAACCUCUAACCCCGGGGCUCAACCUCGGGCCGGGUUCCGGACUGGGCGGCUCGAGUGCGGUAGAGGAGAGCGGAAUUCCCGGUGUAGCGGUGGAAUGCGCAGAUAUCGGGAAGAACACCGAUGGCGAAGGCAGCUCUCUGGGCCGUCACUGACGCUGAGGCGCGAAAGCUGGGGGAGCGAACAGGAUUAGAUACCCUGGUAGUCCCAGCCGUAAACGAUGGAUACUAGGUGUGGGGGGA
rnacentral:rRNA from 1 species